rnacentral:misc_RNA from 1 species
GACCAUUCAUACACCCCAUGAUGCAAACCAACAGAUAAAGACAACCCUCAAAAGCAAACUUUCACGAAUGCUUUUAGCCAAUUCAAAUUUUAAAAAUAUAGCAAAUCCUCAAUGAAGUAGUUAGCCAAUUUUAGGGAUUCUUGCAACUUUCCCUGAUGAAUCGACAUAUAAUCUAACUCUAUCCUGUUUAAAAUCCAUGGUAACAAAGCAAUCAGGUUGAACCACUUGAAUUUGAGCUCUAGGAAAAUCUUCCUUUAUCUUUCUUUCUGCUUCUUCCGCCAUGAGGCCGACUAGAUCAGGC